GCGCACGGGUGAGUAACGCGUAUGCAACCUGCCCGAUACCGGGGUAUAGCCCAUGGAAACGUGGAUUAACACCCCAUAGUACUUUUAUCCUGCAUGGGAUGUGAGUUAAAUGUUCAAGGUAUCGGAUGGGCAUGCGUCCUAUUAGUUAGUUGGCGGGGUAACAGCCCACCAAGACAAUGAUAGGUAGGGGUUCUGAGAGGAAGGUCCCCCACAUUGGAACUGAGACACGGUCCAAACUCCUACGGGAGGCAGCAGUGAGGAAUAUUGGUCAAUGGACGAGAGUCUGAACCAGCCAAGUCGCGUGAGGGAAGACUGCCCUAUGGGUUGUAAACCUCUUUUAUAAGGGAAGAAUAAGUUCUACGUGUAGAAUGAUGCCUGUACCUUAUGAAUAAGCAUCGGCUAACUCCGUGCCAGCAGCCGCGGUAAUACGGAGGAUGCGAGCGUUAUCCGGAUUUAUUGGGUUUAAAGGGUGCGUAGGCGGUUUAUUAAGUUAGUGGUUAAAUAUUUGAGCUAAACUCAAUUGUGCCAUUAAUACUGGUAAACUGGAGUACAGACGAGGUAGGCGGAAUAAGUUAAGUAGCGGUGAAAUGCAUAG
rnacentral:rRNA from 1 species